UACGAAGGGGGCUAGCGUUGCUCGGAAUCACUGGGCGUAAAGCGCACGUAGGCGGCUUGUUAAGUCAGGGGUGAAAUCCUGGAGCUCAACUCCAGAACUGCCUUUGAUACUGGCGAGCUUGAGUCCGGGAGAGGUGAGUGGAACUGCGAGUGUAGAGGUGAAAUUCGUAGAUAUUCGCAAGAACACCAGUGGCGAAGGCGGCUCACUGGCCCGGUACUGACGCUGAGGUGCGAAAGCGUGGGGAGCAAAUAGG
rnacentral:rRNA from 1 species